ensembl:miRNA
UUUUUAGCUUAUAUAGGUUGGUGCAAAAGUAAUUGCGGUCUUUGCCAUUAAAAGUAAUGGCAAAAAUGCAAUUACUUUUGCACCAAUCUUAUA